rnacentral:lncRNA from 1 species
CCCUCCUGAAAAGAGGUGAAGUCUAUUUACCCACCUCUUGAAUCUUGGGCUGGUCUUGUGACUUUGACCAAUAAAAUGGAGAAGUGAUGACUUCUGAAUUUCAUUUUGAAAAGGUCUUCUGGCUUCUGCUCUUGCUCUUAGAAUUCUGCCCUGAGACUAUUGUAUAAAGAAGCUCAGUAUAGCGUAUUAAAGAUGAGGCCACGGCCUGAAGUAUACAAGUUGAUAGCACCAAGUGCUACGUAUGUAAACAAAAGACCAUCUUAGAGAGAUGACAAGUCAAGUGGUUCCAGGGGAGAUCAGCAGAAGCACCACUCAGCUGAUUCCAGUCCAAAUUUCAACCCACAGAAAUAUGAACAAUAAACAGAUGCCAUUAUAGGCUACUAAUUUUAGAGGUGAUUUGUUUUUUUUGUUUUUUUGUUUUGUUUUGUUUUGUUUUUGAGAUGGUGUCACUCUGUCGCCCAGGCUGGAGUGCAGUGGCGCGAUCUCGUCUCACUGCAACCUCCAUCUCCUGGGUUCAAGCAAUUCUCUGCCUCAGCCUCCUGGGUAGCUGAGAUUACAGGCAUCCGCCACCAGGCCCAGCUAAUUUUUUUUUAUAUUUUUAGUAGAGACAGGGUUUCACCAUGUUGGCCAGGCUGGUCUUGAACUCCUGACCCUGUGAUCCACCUGCCACGGCCUCCCAAAGUGUUGGGAUUACAGGCAUGAGCCACUGCACCCGGCUAGAGGUGAUUUGUUAUACAACAAAGGCUAACUGAAACAGACAUAUCUUGAGAUCAUUUGGCUACUUGGGCAAGGGCUCAGAGGUGAAAAUGUUAAGAGUUAUCAACUUAUAGUCUGGUCCCCAGUUCUCAGGCGUGAAAAUUCAAAAUUGUGAAUGAAUCCAGAAUUGAUGAGAUUCCAUGAAUACCAGGAUAACCAAAGAAUUCAUGAUAACCAAACUCAUAAGAAACUAUGUAAGCCAGGAUAUCUACCAGAAAAAUUUAUAGUGAAAAUUACAUAUAUUUUUCAUGUUCUCUUUUUGGUAACUGGUAAGUAUCUUUUUUUUUUUUUUUUUUUUUUUUUUUUUUUUUUUUUUUUUUUUUUGAGACAGAGUCUCACUCCAUCACCCAGGCUGGAGUGCAGUGGCGUGAUCUUGGUGGUUCACUGCAACCUUCACCUCUUGGGCUCAAGCCAUUCUCCUGCCUCAGCCUCCCGAAUAGCUGGGAUUACAGGUGCCCGCCACCACACCCAGCUAAUUUUUGUAUUUUUAGUAGAGGCGGGUUUUCACUAUGUUGGCCAGGCUGGUCUCGAACUCCUGACCUCAAGUGAUCCACCCACCUCAACCUCCCAAAGUGUUGGGAUUACAAGUGUGAGCUGCUGUGCCUGUCCAGUAACUGGUAAGUAUUGACAGAAUCAGUUUACUUAAAGGAGAGUGAAACUGGAAUAACAGGAGUUAUAUAGUUUUAAGAGAUACUUUAUCCAAACUGAAAUAAACCAUUCUUAUCCCACAAUAGUAUAUAACUAUGGAACAACUAGAGUAUUUGUGUCCACUAUAGUAAAUUUCUCUGGACUCUGAAUAGUGAGAGCUAAUCAGUGCAAAAUCUUGCUCUCUGGCUGUCCUUUACUUAUCUCUUCUGACCUUUGUUUUGAUUGCAAACUUUCUUUGGACAGUAUAAAAAUCAGUAUUUUAGGAUUAGAACCCAAUCAAUAUAUUGAGUUCAGUUACAUUCUAGUUCUUUCUGCCUGAUAUUACACUCCAAUUGCCUUAAUGGAUCUUGAGUGCUUCCAGAUAUUCUUAUUAAAUAUUUGUCAUUUUUCUUUUGGCUUUGUUAAUUGUGACUUAUGCCAUGCAUAAUUUUUUGCUUAGUAGUCAAAUUUAUCAUUCUAAAACAAUCUCUUCUGUGUUUUGCAUUAUACUUGGAAGGUCAAGGACCUUAGAGACAUACUUCUGGCUAUUGGAUGUAGACUUUCUUUCUUUUUUUUUUUUUUUUUUUUUUGAGUCAGUGUUUUGCUCUGUCCUCAAGCCUCGAGCGCAGUGGUACAAUCACAGCUCACUGCUGCCUCCACCUUCAGGGCUCAAGCAAUCCUCCCACCUCAGUCUCCUGAGUAGCUGAGACUAUGCCCAGCUAAUUUUUUAUUUUUUGUAGAGAUGGGGUCUCACUAUGUAACCCAGGCUUGUCUUAAACUCCUGGGCUCAAGGGAUCCUUUUGCCUCAACCUCCCAAAGUGCUGGGAUUACAGGUGUGAGCCACCACACCUGGCUGCAAAUAGACUUUCAAUAAAAAAAACUUUCAUUCCAGGAUCAUCAGUGCAGGAGUAAGCUAGUUGACCUGGUAACAAAACACAUGACCUCAAUAAUAAACAGGAACUCCUAAAGACAAUAAGAGGUAAGAUCUUAGGAAAAAAAAAAAAAGUUUUCCUCAUUCUUGACCUGUGAAACAAUUUCCUGGCUUAUAUUAGAAACAAUCAUUUUGCCAGUUCUUGUUUUGUUUCAUUUUGGCAGGGUCUGGUGCUGGUGCUCUCUUCUAUGUAAUAAGGUGCCGGAUACGUACCUACUUACAAGAAAGAUUAUUUGUGUCUUCAAAGCAGGUUUACUUUUGUUCAUAAAGCAAAAUAAAAUAGCAUACUAGUCAUCUGCUACUUAUUUUAAUUUAUGGUUGUUUGUGUUUACACAAGAAAGAGGGCCUUUUGUGAAAAGUAAAUGAUUUACAUAUCAGAGAUAAUUAAGAUAACCCUAUGCCUCUGAUGAGCAACCUCACAUUUUAACCAUCUUGCUAUAAAUCUAUAUAGAUCAACUGAAAUUUAUACACCUUAGUCACACCCAAAUUUAUUAUCUUUAACUUCAAGAUCGAUUAUCUCCUGUCACAUCAAAGUAAAAUUGUCUGUUACAGAAAUAUAUAUGUGAGCAUGCAACUGCAUAAAAAUAAGGCAGCUUUUAGUGUAUUUUGUGCAUAUUGCCAUAAAUUUGUACAGAGUGACAUUCUAAUGAUAUUUCUUUUAUUUUCAGAUUUAUAAAUAUGUGAUUACAUAUUGUGGAAAAAUAAUGCUAUAGGCUCUGUAUUUCAGUUAUUAUUAUAUCUUAUUCAUUCUUUACUGCAUUUAUGCCAGUAAAAUUGAUCUCACAGGCCUGCUUUUUGCUUAUAAUGCUAACUAAUGAAAAUCCAGAGCUUGGCUUAUCAAUGUGAGCCUUUGUAAUUAACAGAAGUCUUGGAAAUAAAUAAAGGAUAUGCUCCUCUCCCCUAUAGCACAGAGAGGAGGAUGUCUUUCUGAGAUAUAACACAUAUUCAAAAUAUCUGAUUUUGUAAAGUGUCAAAUGGUCGAUAUUGACAAAAAUAUCAAUCUUUUUUCUCUUUUGUGCAAUAUGGAGAGUGGUGUGAAUCUUCGGUUUCUUAUUGUAAGUCAUUUUCUUUGAAAAAAGAGUUUUAUAAAACUAAGACUUAGAAACUUACUUGCCCUGGCCUUGAAAAUUACCUUUGGAAAAAUGCUUGUGCUUUAUGGGUCCUGAGAAUAUACUACUUUUGAGAUUUGUCAGGACGCAUUUGGCUGAGUAACAGGUUAUUCUCAUGGCUAAAAGCCUAUUACAGCAAAGGAUAUUAUACAGGAUCAGCAGAAAAAAGUUAUGCCUACAAGAAGACCCGAAAGAUUAGGUGCAGACUUCUAGGUUCUCCCUCCAUGCUGGUCACAGUAAGGUGCUUUUGGCACGACUACAAAUUAUACGAACAUAUAUGAGAUGUCUCUGCCCACGUAAGUCCACUUAGGUCUGAGGUCCCGGAGUUCUUACAGGAGUCUGGUUGCACAAGGCACAUUCCUCCCACGUGACAAUCUAUGGUGCAGAUCUUUACCCAGGAGGCAGGUGCUCAUGGCACAUCUUGAUAUUUGUGUUAGGCAGUGCUGGCAAUUGAGCAUGUCAUGCCUCAGUGCCUCAGGAGCACAAAACAACUUCAUUGGUGACUAUGUUAACUCCAAGGACUUAGCCCCAAGUGGUUGGCUAAGGGUUGGUACCGUGACUCCAGGUACUCCUGGAAAUAAGCUGAGUGAACUCCUUUCUCAUAGAUUAUAAUUCUGAUUGGUAGCUUUACUUGAUAAUUUGUUGCCCUGAUAGUAAUGUUGUAAUUGACAUUUCUGCAUGUGUAAAUAGGAUAAAUUCUUGAAAGAUUACUCUGCAAAUCUGAUCAUUUGUUU